rnacentral:rRNA from 1 species
AGGAUGAACGCUGGCGGCGUGCCUAAUACAUGCAAGUCGAGCGAACGGACGAGAAGCUUGCUUCUCUGAUGUUAGCGGCGGACGGGUGAGUAACACGUGGAUAACCUACCUAUAAGACUGGGAUAACUUCGGGAAACCGGAGCUAAUACCGGAUAAUAUUUUGAACCGCAUGGUUCAAAAGUGAAAGACGGUCUUGCUGUCACUUAUAGAUGGAUCCGCGCUGCAUUAGCUAGUUGGUAAGGUAACGGCUUACCAAGGCAACGAUGCAUAGCCGACCUGAGAGGGUGAUCGGCCACACUGGAACUGAGACACGGUCCAGACUCCUACGGGAGGCAGCAGUAGGGAAUCUUCCGCAAUGGGCGAAAGCCUGACGGAGCAACGCCGCGUGAGUGAUGAAGGUCUUCGGAUCGUAAAACUCUGUUAUUAGGGAAGAACAUAUGUGUAAGUAACUGUGCACAUCUUGACGGUACCUAAUCAGAAAGCCACGGCUAACUACGUGCCAGCAGCCGCGGUAAUACGUAGGUGGCAAGCGUUAUCCGGAAUUAUUGGGCGUAAAGCGCGCGUAGGCGGUUUUUUAAGUCUGAUGUGAAAGCCCACGGCUCAACCGUGGAGGGUCAUUGGAAACUGGAAAACUUGAGUGCAGAAGAGGAAAGUGGAAUUCCAUGUGUAGCGGUGAAAUGCGCAGAGAUAUGGAGGAACACCAGUGGCGAAGGCGACUUUC